UGUGAGGCCGCUUGGCUUUGGAAUGCUGUCUCCCCCUGGUAAGCCAGAGGCCAGACCUGUGAACCCACUUGGAUACAAUUUCGCACAGAACAACAGAAUUCCACUUGUUCUGGACCAGCAAACUUCUGGUAGCUCCUGUUUCAUUGGCUCUGAUUCAGCAAGGAACUGAACCACACACCUAACAGAACCACGAUACCAGACGUCUUUGUGCCCAUGCAGAGGACUGUUGAUACUGAAGGAGCUCUAUGAAUGGAGAGGGGUCCACCCACAUAGAUUGUGAUGCUGGCAAAAUGGUGCUUUCUGAUCCAAGCUCCACUAGCAGUCCACAUCAUGGUUUCAUUCAAUCCCUCAGUUCCUGUACUCCUUGGGAAAGCAGACAGAAUGAUCCAAAUGCAAAGGAGCAACUCUGUCAGGAAGGAUUCUCUAAUGAUUCUCUGUUUGCUGCCUGGGAAUCAUUGCAAAAUGCAGGAUUUCAGGAGAAGACUGUACUCCUGCUUUCUAGGUGGAAAAAUGUAACAACAAUAAAUCUUGCAACCAAACAUAUAGGCACUUGUGGGCAAAACCCAGGACA